rnacentral:lncRNA from 1 species
AUGUUGUUAAAGUUAAAUGUUAUGGACGCUUCAGAAACUCUUCAUUUGUUUAUUCAGUCUUGUGUGUUUUAUUUAUCAGCAGUUUCUGCACAUGAGUCCACCAUCGCCUCCACUUCUCCUCCAGUGUCAGAGUGUGUGUUCUGCUGGACGCUGCUGUUGAGUGUGUGUCCGGUGUGUGUUCUCCUCUCCUCACUCCUGUCCUCCAUCUGUGUUUACUGCUUCUGUCGUCCUCAAACUACAGGUUCUGACAUGAGUGCUGAGAUUCUUAAAGCAAAUGUUUUGAUGGUAACUAUUUUAUACUCUUUUAUUGACCAUAUCAAAGAUGAAUUGUGGACUGAUGUGGUUUUUCACUAGUUUAUUUGAUCCAUUUUCUCCUUGUCAAUCAUUUCAGGCAGAUUGUGUGGAGAAACAUCAGUGUGAGGCGAGUAAGACUGGAAAGAUCUGCGUCCACACUGAAGUCUCUUAUAGACGACUGACAUCUAAACAUCCCUACACCAACAUCUGACACAUGAACUGCUCUUAGUCUACUUUCUGUCUUAUUUCUGAUAGAGUUUGAGUGGACAUGCUUUUAUUUACAGCACAUUAUCUAUUACAAUCAAAUGUUUUUUUUUUUAAAUGAACAGUGUGAUCCACAGAUUAUUUAGGGUUUAACAUUUUAUUUUUGACAAUAUUAAUGUGUCCAAAGAUUAUUAAGAAAAGCAGAUUAUUAAUAACAGCACAAGGCUGUGUAUGUUUGUAUCUGCAGUUCAUCUGCAUAUCUCAAAAUAAAUGAGUAUGUAAAUGUUCACUCAUGAAUGAUCACUUUUAUUUCAAAUAUUAACACAACAUAUUUAAUAGUUAUCAGCGUCUGUGAACAUGAAUAAAUAUUGAAGAGGGAGUCAUGAACAAACAAUGGCUCCAUCUAGUGGCUAAUAGCUGAAGCGACGUCAAAACCACUUGUCAAGACCACUUGUCCACACAUCGUUUUAUCAGCACCAGUUCUCCCCCUCUAAAUUAUAACCAAGACCUAUUAAUGUCACGUACAUGUAGAAGAUGAAA